rnacentral:rRNA from 1 species
UACAGAGGUCUCAAGCGUUUGUUCGGAUUCAUUGGGCGUAAAGGGUGCGUAGGUGGCGGGGUAAGUCAGGUGUGAAAUCUCGGAGCUCAACUCCGAAACUGCACUUGAUACUGCCUUGCUCGAGUACUGGAGAGGAGAUUGGAAUUUACGGUGUAGCAGUGAAAUGCGUAGAUAUCGUAAGGAAGACCAGUGGCGAAGGCGAAUCUCUGGACAGUUACUGACACUGAGGCACGAAGGCCAGGGGGAGCAAACGGGG